AGAAAUAAGUGUUAUCAAGAGAAAGCUUCUAACUUUACCUUAAGCGGUUUAAUCCCGUUUUUAUUUC
rnacentral:tRNA from 1 species